AAUUAAAAAUAAUUAAUUUCUUAUGACUGCUUUUCAAUGGCUUCUUAUCUGUCAGGGACAGUUCCUAAUGGACAAAUACCUGUGUGGCAGCUGGAUCACCAAUGGCAUCUGCGGGUUGUUUUAGGAGUGGUGAAAGGAGUCACUGCAUUUACUAGGACUGAUCCACCACAGUCUCAGGAGAUCCUGUGAUAUGUGUGUUCUUCUCAGAAUCUAUAGAUCAUCUUACUUUGUGUGCAACUCAAAGUUUGCUGCUCUUAAAACUGAACUGAACUUGAAGGUCAGAAAGCAUAAAGGAGGAAGAGACUUCUUAGGAAAGACUGUUUCAGCAUGGAAUAACAGUGUGUCUUGCAGUAUCAAAGGAUUUUAUUCUUUAAAAUAAAGAAGCAAGUCCUCAGGAAAGAGGAAAGUACACUGCCACUUUCCAAGCUAUUUUCAGAAUGCGGAAAAGAAGGAUCCAUUCCAAGGGAAGAAAACCAGCUGGAGCCACAGCUGCACUUGCAGCAGAUGUCAAAGCCAUACUGCUCAUUGCCUUUAGAUAGACUAGAUUCCCAGAAGUGUUUGGAAGGAACAUGUGGAUGCCAUCUACCCCAUCUCCUGCUUGAAGCAGAACUUGUCCUGGAACUAUAUCAGAUCAGCCGUGACUUUGUCUAGCCAAGCCUGGAAAAAUUCCAGGGAUGAGGGUCCCUUUUGCCUUUCUCAGCAUGUGCAGUGUAACAUGAGUAGAAACAGAAGCUGAACAUAGUCUUUCCUUUUCCACAAGUUUUCUGCUUAGUAGGAAUACAAUCAGCAGAGGAGUAACUUGUUUUUCAAAUCAGGAAACUAAAUUUGCAACAGUUAAUCUUGUUGAUACAAAGUAAAUCAUGCUGUAAAGUGGUUUGUGUUGUAAUGUCUUGAUUCUC